UAAGCUUCAUUGUCGAGAGGGAAACAGCCCAGAUCACUAUUUAAGGCCCCUAAAUAUUUACUAAGUGAUAAAGGAUGUAAUAUUACAUAGACAACCAGGAGGUUUGCUUAGAAGCAGCAAUUCCUUUAAAAAGUGCGUAAUAGCUUACUGGUCAAGUGAUUUUGCGCCGAAAAUGAAUGGGACUAAGUAAUUUGCCGAAGAUGUGAGUAUUAAUCAGUAGAAGAGCGUUCUGUUUUGUUUGAAGCAAUAGCGAAAGCAGUUGUGGACUAUGCAGAAGUGAGAAUGUCGGCUUAAGUAACGAAAACAUUGGUGGAAAUCCAAUGCCCCGUAAAUCUAAGGUUUCCUUCGCCAGGUUCGUCCACGAAGGGUUAGUCAGGUCCUAAAAUGAGGUUUAACAACGUAGUUGAUGGUUAACAGGUUAAUAUUCCUGUACCGUUUUUCAUUUUAUUAAGAGUGACGAAAAAGGCUAAGUUAGCCAAACAUUGGUUGUUUUGGUUUAAUAUCUCGAUGUGUAGAUAAAUUUUAUCAAAAAAUAUUUUGAGCAAAGGGUAGAAUACGAGAGAUACUACGGUAUUGCAAGUAACUUAUGUCAUGUUUCCUAGAAAAACUUUUGUAGUAAUAAAUGGAUUAUGCCUGUACCGUAAACUGACACAGGUAGAUUAGUAGAGAAUACUAAGGGGCGCGAGAUAACUGUCUCUAAGGAACUCGGCAAAAUAACUCCGUAACUUAGGAAGAAGGAGUGCCUCAUUUAAUGAGGUCGCAGUGAGCAGGCCCAAGCGACUGUUUACCAAAAACACAGGUCUCCGCUAAGUUGAAAAACGAUGUAUGGGGGCUGACGCCUGCCCAGUGCCGGAAGGUUAAAGAAGUUGGUUAGCGUAAGCGAAGCUAGCGACUGAAGCCCUGGUGAACGGCGGCCGUAACUAUAACGGUCCUAAGGUAGCGAAAUUCCUUGUCGGGUAAGUUCCGACCCGCACGAAAGGCGUAACGAUUUGGGCGCUGUCUCGGAGACAGACUCGGUGAAAUAGAAUUGACUGUGAAGAUGCGGUCUACUCGCACUUGGACAGAAAGACCCUAUGAAGCUUUACUGUAACUUGAAAUUGAUUUUGGGCUUUUUUUGCGCAGCAUAGGUGGGAGGCUAUGAAUCUCUUUUUCGGAAGUUGAUGAGCCAUAAUAUGAGAUACCACUCUGAAAAAGUUAGAAAUCUAAUGACAUGAUAAUAUGUUUGACAUUUUCAAGUGGGCAGUUUUACUGGGGCGGUAGCCUCCUAAAAAGUAACGGAGGCGUACAAAGGUUUUCUCAGUCUGGACGGAAAUUAGUUGUAGAGUGUAAAGAUAUAAGAAAGCUUGACUGUGAGACCUAUAAGUCGAACAGAGACUAAAGUCGGUCUUAGUGACCCGACGGUUCUGAAUGGAAAGGCCGUCGUUCAACAGAUAAAAGUUACUCUAGGGAUAACAGGCUGAUCUCCCCCAAGAGUUCACAUCGACGGGGAGGUUUGGCACCUCGAUGUCGGCUCAUCGCAACCUGGGGCGGUAGUACGUCCCAAGGGUUGGGCUGUUCGCCCAUUAAAGCGGUACGUGAGCUGGGUUCAGAACGUCGAGAGACAGUUCGGUCCAUAUCCGGUGUGAGCGUUAGAGUAUUGAAAGGAUCUUUCCUUAGUACGAGAGGACCGGGAAGGACACACCACUGAUGUUCCAGUUUUUGUGCCAACAGAAAACGCUGGGUAGUCAAGUGUGGAGUGGAUAACUGC
rnacentral:rRNA from 1 species